GGGGCCAGGGGGGCUAUCUGCAGUCGAGCGGACAGAUGGGAGCUUGCUCCCUGAUGUUAGCGGCGGACGGGUGAGUAACACGUGGGUAACCUGCCUGUAAGACUGGGAUAACUCCGGGAAACCGGGGCUAAUACCGGAUGGUUGUUUGAACCGCAUGGUUCAAACAUAAAAGGUGGCUUCGGCUACCACUUACAGAUGGACCCGCGGCGCAUUAGCUAGUUGGUGAGGUAACGGCUCACCAAGGCAACGAUGCGUAGCCGACCUGAGAGGGUGAUCGGCCACACUGGGACUGAGACACGGCCCAGACUCCUACGGGAGGCAGCAGUAGGGAAUCUUCCGCAAUGGACGAAAGUCUGACGGAGCAACGCCGCGUGAGUGAUGAAGGUUUUCGGAUCGUAAAGCUCUGUUGUUAGGGAAGAACAAGUACCGUUCGAAUAGGGCGGUACCUUGACGGUACCUAACCAGAAAGCCACGGCUAACUACGUGCCAGCAGCCGCGGUAAUACGUAGGUGGCAAGCGUUGUCCGGAAUUAUUGGGCGUAAAGGGCUCGCAGGCGGUUUCUUAAGUCUGAUGUGAAAGCCCCCGGCUCAACCGGGGAGGGUCAUUGGAAACUGGGGAACUUGAGUGCAGAAGAGGAGAGUGGAAUUCCACGUGUAGCGGUGAAAUGCGUAGAGAUGUGGAGGAACACCAGUGGCGAAGGCCACUCUCUGGUCUGUAACUGACCCUGAGGAACGCAAGCGUGGGGAGCCAACAAGAUUAAAUACCCUGGUACUCCACGCCGUAAACCAUGAGUGCUAAAUGUUAAGGGGUUUUCGCCCCCUAAUGGUGCACCUAACCCAUUAACACUCCCCCCGGGGGAGAACCGCCCCAAGACUGAAACCCACAAGAAUUUUACGGGGGCCCCCCCAAACCGUGGGAGAAUGGGGUUUA
rnacentral:rRNA from 1 species